rnacentral:snRNA from 1 species
AUACUUAACCUGGCAGGGUAGAUACCAUGAUUGUGAAGGUGGUUUUGCCAGGGCGAGGCUCAUCCGUUAUACUCCGAGUGUACUGACCCCUGCGAUUUCCUCAAAUGUGGGCAACUUGACUGCAUAAUUUGUGGUAGUGGGAGACUGUGUUUCCGCUCUCCCCUG